GACGAACGCUGGCGGCGUGCCUAAUACAUGCAAGUCGAACGCAGUUGCGAACGGGUGAGUAACGCGUAGGUAACUGCCUCAUAGCGGGGGAUAACUAUUGGAAACGAUAGCUAAUACCCCAUACUGUGAGAUGGACCUGCGUUGUAUUAGGUAGUUGGUGAGGUAAAGGCUCACCAAGGCGACGAUACAUAGCCUACCUGAGAGGGGGAUCGACCACACUGGACUUGAACCAGGGCCAAGAGCCUAAGGGAGGCAGGAAGAGGGAAUUUUCGGCAAUGGACGGAAGUCCGAACGCACAAAGCCGCGUGAGAGAAGAAGGUUUUCGGGUCGUAAAGCUCUGUUGUGUGAGAAGCGGUAACUACACAGAAAGGAACGGCUAACUCCGUGCCAGCCGCCGCGGUAAUAC
rnacentral:rRNA from 1 species